rnacentral:rRNA from 1 species
AGAGUUUGAUCCUGGCUCAGGACGAACGCUGGCGGCGUGCCUAAUACAUGCAAGUAGAACGCUGAAGAGAGGAGCUUGCUCUUCUUGGAUGAGUUGCGAACGGGUGAGUAACGCGUAGGUAACCUGCCUUGUAGCGGGGGAUAACUAUUGGAAACGAUAGCUAAUACCGCAUAACAAUGGAUGACACAUGUCAUUUAUUUGAAAGGAGCAAUUGCUCCACUACAAGAUGGACCUGCGUUGUAUUAGCUAGUAGGUGAGGUAAUGGCUCACCUAGGCGACGAUACAUAGCCGACCUGAGAGGGUGAUCGGCCACACUGGGACUGAGACACGGCCCAGACUCCUACGGGAGGCAGCAGUAGGGAAUCUUCGGCAAUGGGGGCAACCCUGACCGAGCAACGCCGCGUGAGUGAAGAAGGUUUUCGGAUCGUAAAGCUCUGUUGUAAGUCAAGAACGGGUGUGAGAGUGGAAAGUUCACACUGUGACGGUAGCUUACCAGAAAGGGACGGCUAACUACGUGCCAGCAGCCGCGGUAAUACGUAGGUCCCGAGCGUUGUCCGGAUUUAUUGGGCGUAAAGCGAGCGCAGGCGGUUUGAUAAGUCUGAAGUUAAAGGCUGUGGCUCAACCAUAGUUCGCUUUGGAAACUGUCAAACUUGAGUGCAGAAGGGGAGAGUGGAAUUCCAUGUGUAGCGGUGAAAUGCGUAGAUAUAUGGAGGAACACCGGUGGCGAAAGCGGCUCUCUGGUCUGUAACUGACGCUGAGGCUCGAAAGCGUGGGGAGCGAACAGGAUUAGAUACCCUGGUAGUCCACGCCGUAAACGAUGAGUGCUAGGUGUUGGAUCCUUUCCGGGAUUCAGUGCCGCAGCUAACGCAUUAAGCACUCCGCCUGGGGAGUACGACCGCAAGGUUGAAACUCAAAGGAAUUGACGGGGGCCCGCACAAGCAGUGGAGUAUGUGGUUUAAUUCGACGCAACGCGAAGAACCUUACCAAGUCUUGACAUCCUGCGACGGUGCUGGAAACAGUACUUUCCUUCGGGACGCAGAGACAGGUGGUGCAUGGUUGUCGUCAGCUCGUGUCGUGAGAUGUUGGGUUAAGUC